UACGUAGGGGCUAGCGUUAUCCGGAAUUACUGGGCGUAAAGGGUGCGUAGGUGGUUUCUUAAGUCAGAGGUGAAAGGCUACGGCUCAACCGUAGUAAGCCUUUGAAACUGAGAAACUUGAGUGCAGGAGAGGAGAGUAGAAUUCCUAGUGUAGCGGUGAAAUGCGUAGAUAUUAGGAGGAAUACCAGUUGCGAAGGCGGCUCUCUGGACUGUAACUGACACUGAGGCACGAAAGCGUGGGGAGCAAACAGGAUUAGAUACCCCUGUAGUCCCUGAG
rnacentral:rRNA from 1 species